GUUAUAUGGUCAAGCGAAUAAGCGCACACGGUGGAUGCCUUGGCGGUCAGAGGCGAUGAAGGACGUGGCAGCCUGCGAAAAGUAUCGGGGAGCUGGCAACAAGCUUUGAUCCGGUAAUGUCCGAAUGGGGAAACCCACCCGCUUGCGGGUAUCCUGCAGUGAAUACAUAGCUGCUGGAAGCGAACCUGGUGAACUGAAAUAUCUAAGUAACCAGAGGAAAAGAAAUCAACCGAGAUUCCGUAAGUAGCGACGAGCGAACGCGGACUAGCCCUUAAGCUGAUUUGGUUCUAGGAAAACGCUCUGGAAAGAGCGGCCAUAGAAGGUGAUAGCCCUGUAUCUGAAAGGGCCAUUUCAGUGAAGACGAGUAGGGCGGGGCACGUGAAACCCUGUCUGAACAUGGGGGGACCAUCCUCCAAGGCUAAAUACUACUGACCGACCGAUAGUGAACCAGUACCGUGAGGGAAAGGCGAAAAGAACCCCGGAGAGGGGAGUGAAAUAGAACCUGAAACCGUGUGCGUACAAGCAGUAGGAGCUCCGCAAGGAGUGACUGCGUACCUUUUGUAUAAUGGGUCAGCGACUUACUGUUCGUGGCAAGCUUAACCGUAUAGGGGAGGCGAAGGGAAACCGAGUCUGAUAAGGGCGCAUAGUCGCGGGCAGUAGACCCGAAACCGGGUGAUCUAGUCAUGCCCAGGGUGAAGGUGCGGUAACACGCACUGGAGGCCCGAACCCACUCCCGUUGCAAAGGUAGGGGAUGAGGUGUGAUUAGGAGUGAAAAGCUAAUCGAACCCGGAGAUAGCUGGUUCUCCUCGAAAGCUAUUUAGGUAGCGCCUCAUAUGUAUCCUC
rnacentral:rRNA from 1 species